UCUUGGCGCGGUAUGUCUAUGUCGUUGGACUUGGACACGGCUGCAACGGCCAUUAUUUCAAUUUUGGGAUUUAUCGUUCUGCUGCUGCUUGGAACAUUGAUAUGGCUCAAACUAAUGAGGAGUCCACACAGUGCACAAUCUCAGCAGUAGACGAUUUAUCAAGCAGACCAAACCCCUGCCUGGCCUUCAUUCCGCUGAAGUGGACACAUCUAGAGUAUCCUCCAAGAUUUAUCAAUCAGGACCCUUCAAAACCAGAUUAAACCUUCAAAUGCAGUGGACAUGUCUUUGCAGAGUUUAGCAGAAUUGCCACCAAACAUCUUGAAAGCAGUUUCUUUGAGUCUCUUGACAAGCACACUCCACGGAUCAUUGAACUCCUGCAGUCAAAAAAGGGAGCUGCUGGACUGAAGAUUCAAGAGUUAAUGGCCAACUUGUCAUCGGAUGUAACUGCAAGACGCUCCGUGGUCCUCAAAGGCCUUCCCAUCGUCUUUGGUGAUGACCCAAACAAGUUCUAUAAGACAUGUUUUGAGACAACGAAAGAUGAGGCCAUAGACAAUGUCACAGUCGGUGUAUUGACCAUCCUAAGUGAAGACGAUCCUGAGCAGCCCGUGUCCACAGCCAUCGUCCUUGAGGGAGGUAUUGUGAUGGACAAAAUUCGGGACUUGCCACAGGCAUUUUGCCUCAUAUUUGGCCUCACAUAUGCCUUGAACCUCGAUUACCCAAAAUGUGUUGGAAACACAUUCAAAUUCAUUCAAAGUGUAAUGCUUGGUUUGGGAAACAAAGCCCUCCCCCCAAAACUGUUAACAGUUAAAAACAUGUUGUUUGACGAAUGAGGAGUCAGAUGUGAGGUAGCACUCAAGAACUGCUUAUGACAGAGACAUGAGAAGAGAUGCCUUAACUAAACAGUAUUUUGAACAUUUUAAGAGCUGCCUAGAUGCAGUUUAUUUGUUGAGUUGAUUUUCAAAUCUGUUCAGUGCUUUUAUGCUGGUGGUAUAUAUAGUGCCCUCUUGUGAAUUCAGGUGUUAAAAUGUUGUGUAAAAAGAAAUAUAUGUUGGAUAAUGUGGCAUACCGUUAAUGUUCUUAUGACAGAGAAGAGGCGUUUGAUGCUUUUAUAAACAGCGUUUUGAACUGUUUAAGAGUCAAGUGAAAAUAUAAUCAUCAUUUCAUUGUUCAAUUGAUACUCAGACCUGUUGAGUGCUUUUACAAUAAUGCCUUCUUGUGAAUUCUGAUGUUAAAAUGUUGAUUAAAAAGAAAUGUGAUAUGUUGGAUGAUCUAGCCAGCAAAUACCUGUAAUCCAGCAUAAAUUGUGCGUGUUAAGAUUCACAGUAAGUCUGCAUACUGUUAAUGUUUUUAUGACAGGAAGAGAGGUUUGCUUUUAGCAUUUUGAAAUGUUCAAGAGUGACGUGAAAACAUUUUCAUUUCAUUUCAAUUUUUUUUACAAUAGUGCCUUGUGAAUUCAGGUAUUAACGUGUUAAAAGAAAUGUGAUAUGUUGGAUAUUUGGAUACUGUGACCAGCACAUAAUCCAUCAAAAAUUGUGAGCACAAAAUCUGCAUACUGUUAAUUCUGUACACGUUUUAAAUAAAUUGAAUGCAGAUGACA